GGGACGUGCGGCUCCGGACCGGCGGCGGAACAGGGGCGGAGCAGCUCUACGCCGCUCGCCGCUUUUGAGUCGGAAGAAAGUGUGGGGUCCGCCCCUGGGCGCGGCGGCGCCGCCCCGGGUCCCAGCCCGCCUGCCUGGGUGGCGGAGGGAGGGCCCGGCUCCCCCUCUCCCUGCCUCGGGACUCUGGGCCGGCGGGGCGGGAGCGACGGUCGGUGCCAGCCGGUGGGGACUUCUGCGGGCGAGAGUCUGCGCACCCGCUAUGCCUGGAUGGGGCCCCGGUGGGCACUGGCGGCUGGAGGGACCUCGGGUGAAUCUUCUUGGCGGUUGAAAUGGGAUCUGUGGUAACUCACGGACGCUCCCUUCAGGAUCUGUGGAAAUGAGGAAGCGGGGAGAGUGGGGAGAGGAGGGAAUCCGUCCUGCUUCCCCGCUCCGGAGUGUUGAGUAUAAGAAGAAUGUCUGCUGUGAAAGCGUUAAAGCAGCUCCAGAGUCUACACCUUCUUCAGGUUUUAACAUCUAACUGGAAUUUAAUAAUAUUGUCUUCCAUUUAUGCUUGCCUUCCCAGGUUGCUCAGCAGUAAAGAAUCUACCUGGCAAUGCAGGAGUUGCAGGAUACAUGGGUUCAAUCCCUGGGUUGAGAAGAUGCCCUGGAGUAGGAAAUGACAUCCCACUCCAGUAUUCUUGCCUGGAAAAUCCCAUGAAGAGAGGAGCCUGGCGAGCUACAGUCCAUGGAGUUGCAAAGAGCUGGACGGGACUGAGCAACUGAGCACAGCAAAGCAGCUUGCCCAGCGUGCCGGACCCAGUAGGGGAGGGUCUAGGGGAAGUGCUUUGUUCAGAGGGGAGAGGCAUUGCCCGCAGGACUGACAGCGCAGGGAGACACCUUCUGGAGACUCUCAGAAAUACAGGACUUGGUGUGCAGGAGUGGAGGUUUGGUCCUGAAAAUGGGAGCAGGAACCAGUGACAUUUGUAUUGCAGUUAAUGAGAUUCUUCUGACUCAAAGGCUCAUAAGAUCUGGAGAAAUAAACAUUACAUAUAUACUGUUGGCCAGGUUCUUAGAGUUACUGAACAUUUACUAAAACAACCAUAAUAACUAUGUCUGUCUUUUUCUGUAUAAGCUCUUUGUAAAAUCCUCCAUUUGGGUCAUAUGUUUAUAGCAGUUAAACAAACUUACAGACAGGUGUAUAAAUCUUAAGUAUUUACUACAGUGAAUUUUCACAGUUUAAUAACUUGUGCAAAUUCUGCUAAGACAGAUGCAGAAUAUUAGAAGCAGCUCUGAAGCCUCUCUUGUGCCCCUUCUUGUCUCCUUUUUGAAAAGCUACCCUGAUUUCCAGUAUAGUAAAUAACUUUUGCCUGUUUUAAGCUUUGUAUAAAUGCAAUUAAUUAAACAAUUAUUUUGCCUACCUUUUUUUUUUACUCAACAUUAUGUCUGUAAGUCUUAUUUAUGUUCUUACCAAAUUUGUAGGUUUUCUUUGUUGUAUAGUGUUUCAUUAUAUGAAAGUAGCGCAAUUUUAUCCAUUUAAAAAUUUACUCAUUUUUAAAUUAUUUCACUGUUGGUGGACAUUUGAGUUGUAUCCAGUUUUGAUUAUUAUGAACAAAGCUGCCAUAAAGGUAUUGGUACAUGUUUUACUGCACACAUGUCCUCCUUACUAUUUCUGUUGGGAAUGUAAUUGCUAAAUCUGAUCUAUAGAUUUAAUGACUUUUAUUCUUCCCAAUGUGGAAAAUGUGGUUUAGCUAUACAUGUUCAGUUCUCUUGCUGUAAAGGGAUUGAAGUGAUGAAGACAGUGAAUUUGACUAUGAAGCUAUUAAUAUUACUGGAAAAAGUUGGCAUUACUUAGAAUAGCCAGGUACUGACAAAUUGGGUACUUAAUGUUGAAUCCUUAUUCGUUAUCAUAAGCUGUGAUAAGUGGUAAGAGUGUACACUGUUGUACUGCUCAUGUCAAAUUGAAAAACAUUUAGGAUAGUUUUCAGCUGCUACCUAGAGUAUGUUUUUUUAAAAAAUAUUUUUAUUUUAACUGGAGGCUAAUUACUUUACAAUAUUGUUUAAGAUUCCUCCUCCUGGAAGCUAAUUUUUAAUAUUAACCUUAGGAAGAUAUGCUUGGAAAGUAAUUUUCAAAAAUUGUUUCCAUUCAUCAGUAGAGAUGGCUAAAAGUUAAUUGCAACGCUAUAGUUUGUAGCCUUUGCUACUGGAAGCUGAAAAACAUCAGUUGAUUUUCAGAGUUUUUAGUUUUAGUUUAUCAGUUGACAAAUCUUGAUUUAAGUAUUGACCAUUGUGUUUCCUGAAUUUAUCUAUGAAGACUGAAUGGAAGGGAAUAACACCAAAUUUAGGUUCCAAGAGAAAAAUGCUCUGUGAUGUGGGCCUUAUCCAGAAUCCUAUGGCCAAAAAUAUCCCCGGGGUCAAAGUUAUCCAGUGGAUCUUGGCCCUUCUCUGUAGACUCUAAUCUACAGGACCAACACUCAGAUUUGCUGGAAACUAACAUUUAUUUCUACUUGGCUUUUAAUUAUAAAAAAAGUAUGUGUUUAUUCUAGGAAACUUGGAAAGCAUAUAAAAAUAUAACAAAACUCUCAUGUAAUAGCAGUAUCCUUUGUUAAUACAUUUCAGAAUAUUUUCUUUCUGGUUUUAAAUUACCAGAUUAUUUUUUCACGUAACUCAUUUAUUCAACACAUGUUUUUGAGAGUUUCUUAUGUACUGAUGGCAAGACUGUAUACAACCAGAGAUCUAGCAAUCUCUUACAGGGUUUCCAAGACUUGAACUUACCCAGCAGAAUCUGGAAGAUCAGAGGUGGUGAGGGCCAGGGAGAGGGACCUCUGGGAGAGACAGUGCGGAAAGUCGUUGUCAUAGCAGCCCUGAGACAUCUGUUGUUAGAAAGGUCUGCUUACAAUACUGGCUCUUGUCUAGCAUCUGGGAACUUGGCUUUCAGGAGUUUCCCCACCAUUCCCUAAUGAUAAGGAUGGUUCACUGUGUCUAGACUGUGCAAAUACCAUGGUCAUGCUGAAGACCUGCUUAUCUUCUGGGACUCUAGGAUUUUGACACGUGAAUGGCUGAGAGUUCCUACAUGACUGGCCUCCACUAAAAACCUUGGAUGGUGAGACCAGUGAGCUUCCCUGACAGACACUUGCCAGGUGUUAUUGUUGGAAGAAUUAAGUACAUCCUGUGUGACUCCACGGGAGAGGACUCUGGAAAGCUUCUUCCUGGUUUCUUCCAGACUUUGCCCCAUGAACCCUAUUCCUUUUACUGAUUUUGUUUUGUGUCCUUUCAUUAAUAAACUGUACCUGUGAGUAUAACUA